rnacentral:rRNA from 1 species
GGUUAAGCGACUAAGCGUACACGGUGGAUGCCCUGGCAGUCAGAGGCGAUGAAGGACGUGCUAAUCUGCGAUAAGCGUCGGUAAGGUGAUAUGAACCGUUAUAACCGGCGAUUUCCGAAUGGGGAAACCCAGUGUGAUUCGUCACACUAUCAUUAACUGAAUCCAUAGGUUAAUGAGGCGAACCGGGGGAACUGAAACAUCUAAGUACCCCGAGGAAAAGAAAUCAACCGAGAUUCCCCCAGUAGCGGCGAGCGAACGGGGAGGAGCCCAGAGCCUGAAUCAGUGUGUGUGUUAGUGGAAGCGUCUGGAAAGGCGCGCGAUACAGGGUGACAGCCCCGUACACAAAAAUGCACAUGCUGUGAGCUCGAUGAGUAGGGCGGGACACGUGGUAUCCUGUCUGAAUAUGGGGGGACCAUCCUCCAAGGCUAAAUACUCCUGACUGACCGAUAGUGAACCAGUACCGUGAGGGAAAGGCGAAAAGAACCCCGGCGAGGGGAGUGAAAAAGAACCUGAAACCGUGUACG